CGUAUUACAAAGGUGAGCAUUACGCCAACGUCACCACCGAGGAAAGUUGUGACCAAAAGGCACCACACAGCAUAAACUCGCUGCAGUCUUUUGCACAAUCCCACAAGGUAAAGGUGACGCACUGGAACAAGCUCCGAGCAGCAGUGGCAAAGAGCCCAUGGCAAGCAGCAAGGUUAAUGUGCACGGCAACGUCCCCACCAAGGAAAGUUGUGACUAGAAGGCACUACACAGCAUAAACUCGCUGUAGUCUUUUGCACAACCCCACAAGUUAAAGGUGACGCACUGGAGCAGGCUCCAAGCAACAGCGGCAAAGAGGGCAGCUAUAAGACGGUCCUUCAAAGCACGUUACAGUGGCAGAGGAAACCAAAAUGCUACGUAAACCCGCAGCGGAGCCCCGCUGCAGUCUCUUGCACAGCUCCACACGGCAGCACACCACCGAGGGAAAACUGUGAUCAAAAGGCACUACACAGCGAAACCUCGUUGCAGUAUCUGGCACACCCACGACCUGCUACCCCGGCUCUAAAAGCUUCGUGAAGAUCCUGGCGUCAAGCUCUGCCUUCUCAAGAUCAAAGAUUCCUGGCAUCAUAGCAAACAAAUCCAUCAGUGGGAGCACACACAUCGUGCAUAUAAAAAAAAAAAAAAAAAAAAAAAAACAUUAUAUUAUGCAUGAUGAUGAAACAAGUGCACGGUUUGGUGAGGGGACAAAUCAAUUUCCACAUACAUGUACAUGUGUGCACGGUAUCAAUCACAACCAACUUCCAUAUAUAUGUAUGCAUGCAGAAUGAUGGGACAACCGCCAGCCAACUUAUAUAUAUAUAUAUAUACAUGCAAAGCGACAGGACACUCAACAUAUAUAUAUAUAUAUAUAUAUAUAUAUAUAUGUACGUACAACAUGUCAAAAGCAUCUCAGGGUUAUAUAAAUAUAUAUAUAUAUAUAUAUAUAUAUAUAUAUAUAUAUAUAAGUGUAAGUAUGUGCGGCAUCCAAGAUGAGACAACUAAUCUCAAGGUUGUGUAUAUAUAUAUAAAUAAGUGUAAGUGUGUGCGGCUCCAGGCUAUAUAUAUAAAGGCUGGCUGUGUGCGGCUCCAGGACAUAUAUAUAUAUAUAAACGCCUGCUGCGUGCGGCUCUGGGAUAUAUAUAUAUAUAUAUAUAUAUAUAUGCAUGGUGAUGGGUUAUACAUAUAAACGGACUCACGAAGUAAAAGCUGCAUCCUGCCAGCCGACUGCCUUCUUCUUCCCGUCUGCAGCACUGGUCAUCCCCUCCUCAACGCUUUGCACACCUUAAGCUCCAGCACCGAGACUCCCCUUGUCAAGCUCACUUCUGCAGCCUCAGACCACCGUCUCUGUCCAUCAAUGCGAAGCCAACCCGAACCCGUCGUUCGCCGUCAGGAUCCGCAUCCUACCUCCUCUCUGCUGCAUUUCCUUCCAGCACCGAGCUCAGUAGCAGCAAACGAGGAUCCUCCAGGAACAAUAGGCGCACUGUUAGUAGCAUGAGCAACAGAGGAUGCUACAUAAGAAAGCCCAGUCGACGAAGAUGUAGAGCUGAAAGAGGUAGCAAAUACAGAGACUUACCAGCUAGCAGACGCGGGGAACGCAGGAAGCAGUGCACGCAGUCGUGAUCGCAGCCAGGUAGCAGCUGUGUGGUGAAUGUG
rnacentral:lncRNA from 1 species